UCCCGGCCCCGACUGUUGCCCUGUGUCAUUCCUCCCCUGUGACUGUCGCCCUGUGUGUCCGUCUUCCCCCGUGGGUGUCGACCUGUGUCAUUCCUCCCUUAUGGCUGUCGCCCUGUGUCCGUCUUCCCCUCUGACUGUCGCCCUGUGGAAGUCCUCCCCUGUGGCUGUCGCCCUGUGUCAUUCCUCCUCUCUGACUGUCAUCCUGUGUCCCUCUUCCCCUCUGUCACUCCGUGUCCCAUCUCUCUGUUUCUGUCAUUGUGUGUCUGUCCUCUCUCCCUAUAGCCUGUCCUCUCCGCUGACUGCCAUCUGCGGUCCCGUCCUGUACCCUCUGGCUUUUCAGGAUUCUGUACCCUGUCUUACAGCUCUGAUCCCCAAGUCCCCUUCCCUGACUAUCAUCCUGUGUCCUGCGCUCCUCCCGCUGUUCACCCACUUCAUUCCUUGCGCCUGCGGCUCCUGUUUGGGGUGGUAGAUAGCGGAGAAGUUGGCCCUGGGGUUGUAGCUGCUCCCUGUGGAGUUCCAGCCUGGUUCCUGGAAGGCUUGGGCUCUUCUUUGCCUGAGGUAGAAUGAUAAUGUCCCCUUCAGCUGCAGAGAGACCUGUGUAAUAAACCCACCUGGGGAGUCAGUGGCCCCAGGCCUGGCCUGCUUGUCUAGGAUAUAGAAGGAACUUGGGGGCAGCCACACUCACCCAUGGAGCCUUGUGGUCUGGUGGGCAAGUACAGCUCAAAGGAGUCCCUAGGCUCCUGGACACCUCAGGGUGAGAGAUUGGUGGAUGGAGAAUGCAUCUGGGGUAGCUGUGCAAAGACCCUGGGGGCUGGAGGUCACAGUUGUGCAAAGGCCCUAGGGCAAGGCAGAGCCUGGUAUCGGAGGAGGCCCCUGUGCCAGGCAGGGGUGAACAGGAGUCAGGGCAUGAUGGCAUGUUGGAGGAGCUUGCGUUGACUACAUAUAUAUCUUUGAGUCCAUGGAGGAGGAUGGGACACCCAGUAUGUCCUGGGCAGUGGCAGGAUCUGCUUUGUCCCCAGGGGCACCUGGGCUCCAACUCCUCCCUGUCCAACAGGGGAAGGAGAGCAUAGAA